rnacentral:lncRNA from 1 species
UUUUUUAAAUAGUAUUUUUAGUAGCUAGUUUUAAUUUAUCCAAGUGACCAAAACACAAAGUAUACAUGUCUAAAAGAAGAUGUGAAAGACCAGGGUUCACAAUUCAAUCCAGUUAAAACAGGGCUUUCUUUGUAGUUAAAAACAUCUCUGAAAAUGGGGUUGUCCCCCCCCCCCCCCCCUCACAGAUGCAAUUUGAGUCUCAGCAUGAAAUAGUAAGGAAAAUAUACUAGAACUGUUCUUUCUGGGUCAUUAUGGCUGCUGUAUAUGAUGAUGCCUGUACCUAUUUUACAGCUGGGGGAAGUGCAUUUUUUUUGUAAGCUUAGUGAGUAGAUCAAUCUAAAAUGACUUUUGUACUUGCUUAGCCUGAUGGUACUUCAAUUCUGUAUGCACCUUACUUUUUAAUCCUUAAAUCUUUGAUUUUCUUCAUACUGUAAAAAGUCUCAGUCUUGAUAUUAAGAUAACAGGUAAUAGUUAUACCUAAGGUCCCCAAGUCUGACACUCGUGCUUUACAGGCAUUUCAGAUAAACACCAAUUUGCAGGUCAUCUCACUGCAUUUUCAGGAACACUCUUCAGCCAAAAUAUAGUGGUGACUGCACUUUUAUUUUAGACAGAGCACCUUACACAAAAGCUUUUCUAGACUGAAAGCUUGCGUCUGUUCUUAUUGAAUGUAUAAAUAAGAGACUCAUUAGGCUCUGAGGAAAGAAAAAGAUGUGGUCAUAGCUUUGUGUGUUAUGAUGAUAAAAACUGUCCACUGGAAAGAACAAGACUAGUGCUCCAGUAUGUUCCUGAGAUCUGUUUUAUGUGUUUUACAUGCAUUUAAAAGAAUAGCAUGAAUUGUUUUUAAAAAAAUCUUUGCAACAUGAACUUGUCUCCCAGAUAAGGGUGCACACAGUAGCUUCAGAAAGAGGAAUUCCCUAUUCCACUUGUGAGAAUGGAAUUGUGAGUAGAAUUGUAGGAGACAAAUUGGAGGCUCUAGAUUUGAAGUGAGAAAGGGCACAUCGUGGUUGUGAUAGUGAAAGCAUGCUAGUCUGUAUUUUCUCUCCUGUAAAUUCCCUGAGAUGUGGAUUGUGACUUAUUUUGUUUCUACUUUGCCUAGUAACACAUUGUUUGAGGACUUUUCAGCUAUUGCUCUCAUUACUGCAUAAUGUGAUUUUUAGGUCACAUUUCAUCAUUGUAUCCAAGUACAGGAUCUACUUCAAACAUAGGUCUAAAUUCCACUGCUUGCAGUGUAACUUAAGCAUUGUGUCCUUUGGGUUUAAAGCCUUUCAAGUACUUCCUGUUUACUGUUCAUAAAAUACUGAAAUAAAAAUGAGCUGUGGAAUGGCAAUAGACCAUAUAUUAUGAUAUCGAUAACAGUUGGGCUGUGUCAGGAAUUUGUCUGGUUUGCAGUCUUACUGUCAACCACAGUCGAGUGUGAUUUUUUUUUCCUUUUUUUCCUCUUUAAACACUGUCUGUAGAAGAUAGUUAAAUGAGUAUAAUGAAAGUCAGUACUGAAAUAUCUUCAAGAUGUGCCUUAGCCAUUGUCUGGCCAUGUACCUUCCUGUGUGUGGGCUGCUUCCAGACGUUCAGCUCCAGAAACAAAAACAUCACAUACAGCAGAAAUUUUGAUUUUUCUUUUCUUAUUCCAAGUGAACUGACGAAUGCUGACAGACAAAAAUCCUGUGAAUACUGUAAUGCUGUUACUGUUCCCUUAGUGUCUAGUAAAUUUGAUUUAGAAUUGUGCUGUGAUAUCUGAGUUAACUUUUGACUAAUCAGCCCUUCACUAUCUCCACCUCCCUCUCCUCCCACCCCUCCCCCCAAAAAAGAAGCCUGUAAUAAGUAAGCAAAUGAAUUUGUAUCAUAUGUUUUUCUUGAUUUCUCUCUGUAGUCACAACCUCAAACUUAGCUUAAAGCUGAUAGUUGACAAUCUUUUCAAAAUCACUUGCAACAUGAGUUGCUCUAUUUUUUCUUUCCUGAGUCAGUUUUUGAUUCUCAUUACACACCGUGUUUCUAGAAAUAAGACCAUGUCUGUACAGGUAACUCGAUGUAAUUAGAAGUCCAUUUUUUGGUAUAGUUAAUCAAGCUACUUUGUUUAUGUGUAGUGUCAUUAUAUAAGUAUACUCACAGCUUUUAGUGGCUUUUGGUUUGUUUCACUUCCAAAAGGAUUCUUAAGUCUCAUUUCAGUUCAUAAGAGUAGUAAAAGUUCUUCUGUGUGAAUGAGACGUUGAUCCAUUGUCCUGAUGCCUGUACUGUAAGCAGUAGCUAUUGAAUUUCUUCCACAAAACCCAAAUGUCUUAGAAAUUUGGGAGGGAAAAAACUAGCCUUGAGAUUCAAUCACAGAUUCUUUUGUGGCUUUAUUUUUUUUUUCAGGUUCAUGGCUGCAUGAAUAAAUUAUGUAUUGUGUUAAUAUUUCCUGAUUUACGAUUCUUAAAAAAAAAAAGUACUGUUACCUAGGUAAGUUUAUUCCUUUAAUUUUUGAUAGAAGUCUUACAGAGAAGAAGUACUGGAAACCUUUGAUCGCAUCCCUUCAGCCAUUGUAGGGAGGAACCUAUUGUCUUUCUCAGUUCUUGUGCUUCCUGUUUUCUUAGUUAUUGAUUGAUUCUCAUGCUUCUAGUAGUUAUCUAGAUAUCUUGUCACUAUGUCAAUGACAAGAAUUUCACUUAUUUUUCAGCAGUCUAAACCAAAACCCACUGAGAAACAUAGGAAAGUUUUUCAUUAGCUGUUACGGGCUUAGAAAUGUUUAUGUUUUAGUAACAACUAAAUGGCUCUUUAAGGCAGAGAUGACCACCAGAUCAUUUACUGGCAACUCUGUGUCUAGAAUAUGAACCAAGUCAAUACAACUGCGCUACUACUUGUAACUGCAGUAGUGUUAGUGGGGCUGUCUCUGUUCUGUGUGGCCUUGUGUUAUGUAGGCAUACUAUAAACUUAACUUUGUUUUUGUUUUUCUUGAUUCAAAUUCAAGAGAAGAGAUGCUAUUCCCUUAGUGCAAAGGAAAUCAUAAGUUCAGACCAUGAGCCCUAUUGAUGUAUGCAAAGUGCUUUGUGUCUUUGAGCAUGUAAAUUAUAUGAAGGGCAAGCUAUUCAUCUUCACAAUUUCUUUUGGCCUUGGAGUAUUUAUAGAGACUCCCUGUGGAGCUGCACAGUCAAGCAUCCCCCAGCUGUAGAACAGCUUAUGAACAGCACUCUGAAGAGUAUGUAUACACAUGGAAAACAAAUUAAGGCAAGCCUGAAGCAAGAAUGUUAUUUCUGCAGCUUCACUUUAUCUGUAAAAAAAAUUGUAAAAAAAGUUUUUUCAAUUCCUUCUUUGGAGGACUUUUUGUUACUGCUCAAGGUUAGCUUCAAGUGGGGGUAAGUAUUGCAUCCACUGUUCCAAUGGCUAACAGGCAUUUAGGAUCAGUCCUGUAUUGGAUGUUCAGCUGUUUGUAAGCCCUGCAGUAGAUUCUAAAAACACCUGGAUGAGUGGAAAAGGGAGCUGUAAAUAGGAUACAUGAAAAACAGAAGGCUUAGAUUCUAUGGCAGGGGAAAGGUUUGGUGCCCAGAGUAAGAAAUAGGGUACAAUAAAAAUACAAAACUAUUAAAUAGACUUAUAAACACUUUUCAUCUAUAUGUAUAGAUUUCUUUAGUUAUAAAGGAGAAGCUGAAAGAAACGACUGACAACAUGCAGAAAGGCAAAUGUAGAUUAAAACGGUGAUGACGAAACAGAAGGCCAAGAAGAGGGAAUGGGAACCAGCAGGUAGGCUGCACAGGACAGAGGGAGUCCACAGGUCCUUGCUGGCAGUGGUCCAUAAGGGGAGAAUCUGUUGCUGGUUCUGUGAGCAAUGUUUCUGAGAAAGUCCUAGCUAGUCCUAAGUUCUUCAGAAUAGGGCAACCAUUCUGCAAGUCUGAGCUGGGUAUAUUGGUUGACCAUUUUCUAUCUAUAUACUAUAUAUAGUAUUUCUUUGAAUAAAUAUUUAACAUUAGUGGUCACUAUUGUGACUCCUUGUUUCGUAUGUGUUGUUUUUAUUUUUAUUUAGAUCCAGAGAGUUGUAGUUCUAGAUGUAAAUCUAUGAAACAUUUCAUUGCCAUGUUAUGAGCUAUAGAUAUUUCAGCCACUUGUGGACCGUUUUAAUAUUUUCUUUCCUGUUUCAGUGAGCAUCUAUUCAUUUUAUACCUGACCAGGAACAAAUUUUAAGCGUGUAUACUGAUCUUUCCAACUUGGGGAGAUUUUGUUUGUAUCUGAGUACACAAACUGGAUUCCUUUCAGACAAUUAAUUCUAAACCAACAGUUAUGUGUCCUUAGCACCAGGUGUUUUGCUCUUCAUGUCCCUUUUUACUCCACUGUGCUGCUUGUUAUAGCUGAUAUUAGACACAGAAGGGAAAAAGGAAAAUGACAAGUAUUGAUAAAAACAGAAAUGAAGCCUUGAGCUACAGUAUCGCUAGAGCCCUUGAACCCGGACAGUGAACCUGUAGUUUAAAAGGAACCACACAGUUUAAGAACCUCUAUUUGGAAUGUGAAGCAUUUUGUAUGAAAUUAUUAGCACAGUUUUUUUGUGUUAUACUUUACCUAAUCAUGUUCAUGUAAGGAGCUUCAGGAAUACCAGUAGACCUGGAGGGUCCAGUUUAUCCUUCCUUUUUUCAAGGACAUUUGACUUAAUGAGAGUUGUCUAGAUAAUUAACAGAAGUUAAAUGGUAAAGAAUAUUUAAUCAUGCUUUUUAGCAGUAAACCAGAAUUUUUUUCAGAAGGAACACUUAAUAUUAAUGGACCUGGAACAUGUGCUAAUUCUUUAAGUUAUCUUAAAUACCAUCUGCUCCUGUCACUUUUUUGGAUAUUUUUCACCAUCUGAGAAGCCUCUCACAAGGCAAAUUUCCAUCAGUUUCAAAUAGUUACUUCAGUUUUUUGUUCUCUUCCUUUAUGAAUGUGCUUCUUGUUAGGUCAUUUAAGUUAUGGCACUACAAAAAUAAAUUACUUCUUGCUCUUCCAUAGAAGACAAGCUAGGGAUGAAUUUGUAGCUUUUCCAUAGAGGGUAAGAGAUUCUGAUCUUCAAAUAUGUAGGAAUUAUGAUCUUCUUUAAAUGUAGGGUCUUAAGUACGACUCUUCUAGUUAUAGAUCCUUAAGGCUAACUAGAAAAACCUGAAUUUGUACAGUUUUGGAGUUUAAAGCUCAUCUUUGAUUUUGGACUUUUUAAAAUGGUCACUGGUAUUCUGGAUCAAGAGCUGUAUUCUGUAUCUAUCCCUUGUGGUGUGCUGGCAAAGGGCAGGGCUUGCUGAAAAUUUGCACUAUUUAAGUUUAGAGCAUGUAGGCUCUUU